CUGAUUACACCCUAAGUUCUAAAGGGAACUUUCUUAUUAGAACUGAUGCAUAUGCAUUUCGAAUGCCUUUUCCUUCACCAACAGAUAUGAAUAAAACAACACUAACAAACAUUCAGAGACUUUGGAUGCUUCAAAACAAAGAUGCCUCUCUAAAAGAGAUCUUCAGCAACUAAAGUUUGUAUUCUAAUUCUAUUGCAUUGCAAAAGGUUCAAUGACCUCUCUUUAAUUCUAAUUGUUUAACUAAUACCAAAAGGAAUAAAAGAAAACAGGUUCAAAGCAUGACAUCAUUUUAGAGAAUUGAAUACCAACACGAUUUCAUUUUAAGAGUAAAAUAAAACAGCCCAACGAAGAUUAUGACAAGAUGAAAAGAUCCUUAAACAGACUCAACAAUCGAUCCAAUCAAAACCAAUAGUAUGGCUCAAAAAUCUCCUCUACUCAAGUAGCCCAAAGACAUGCAGUUUUCGGUAAUUGUAUGGAAAGCUUGCAACAAGUAGAAACAAUAACGAGAACAGGGAAGGAUGAACAUUUCUUAAUCUUAAACAAAGAUAAAAUUCCAUCUUGGGUAUAUAAGAUCUCAUAUCAUAGAGCAACGAAUCUAACCCCAAAAUUUGAAAAUGCAGCGUACAAAGUGGAUAGAAAUAUUUGCAUCAAGCAAGCACGAAUAUUGAAUAUACUUAGCUGAACAGAGAAAAAAUCGAGUGCCUAAACAAAUCUUAUGGUCCAAUUACCUAGAAGAGCCGAUUAUCACAGAUUACCGAAAGGAGAAGAACAUAUGCAACUAAUCGAUAGUUAUUCAAAUAAAAAGAUGAGAACUUAAAAAUGGCUAUAACUUGACAGAUUAUUACGCGGUGUAUUACAACAAAACAAAUUCGACAAUAUCAAUCCAUCAGUGAAUCGAAAAAACAGAAACAUAAUCACAUAACCAUAACGAACCCCACAUCAAUUAUUUCAACACAACAUCCUACUGCCUUUGUAGCCUCUACAGUAUAUAACCCAGCAUGCAAUAUCACUAAUACUCGCAACUACAGAAGGUUGAGAUGAAGUAGACAUAGUCAAAAGAUAAGCGAAAUGGGGUGUUACCUUUUUUGGAGCAGCAAAUAGGACUAAGAGCUAACUGUCGAAAUCCGCCACCACCGGAAAUCAGCGUUAUCAACUUGAUAAUCUCCGAUUAGUCAACCAACUUUCAGAAAGAAGAACGAAAAAGAAAGUUUUCACUAAGGGAACUGUUUUGAUCCCAAAAUUUUCUCCCACCUCUUUUCGAACCCAAAAAAUUCAAACCAAAAAUCCUCAGAACCUUUACUUUCCUUAUCAGACCUCAAAAUUUCCCAACACUAGUUUUUCAACCUAAGAGCCUAAAAGAGAAAAUCCCCCUAUUCCCAGACCCAAAAUUUCAAACCCUAAAAACGGUGACCCAGAAGAAAACCAUCCUCUCUUUUCUUGCUCCAGAGAGAGCUAUUUAUAGAAAGGGGGAUUGAGGGUUCAUUUUUUGAAUUCAAAAGAUGAGAAUGCUAACAAAUCGUACCCCCUUGUUGAUUUUCAUGAACGGAUUUCCAAAAAUGGCCAAUAGAAAUUUAAGAAAAUGGAAUCAUCUUCACAAGCCAAUGAAAAUUUUCCACCCUUGUACGAAAUCGUACAGCCUCAUCCGAGAUUCGCGAGGGUGAGCCAGCUCACCCAUUUCUAUAAACUUUCUUGAAUUUUUGUAACAAACACACGCCAUCUAGGCGGGUCGACGUUCGGAAGCUGUUUUUCGCCGAAUUUCGGGUUAAGGUUGACUGGACGAGUCGCGAAGUUGAUGGAUUUUGGUCGAUUUUUGGCUGGUUGUUUGCUGAAGGUCGAUGUUGUUGAUGGUUUGUU
rnacentral:lncRNA from 1 species